rnacentral:misc_RNA from 1 species
UUAAGUUCAGCGGGUAAUCCUGCCUGAUCUGAGGUCUAAAAGGUUGACUUUGGGUGUUUGAAGCUAUCAGCUUUGCAACGCUCGUCCUUGAUGAAUAGUCUAUUACAUCAAGUCAAUCCGAGGUUCGAAUUAGAUAUGCUAAUCAAUUACGGGCGAGCAGUCCAAUACAGACUGCAGCGCCCAGAAUCCAAGCGUGCGAC